GAUGAACGCUGGCGGCGUGCUUAAUACAUGCAAGUCGAACGGAAAGGCCCUGCUUUUGUUGGGCUGUCGAGUGGGGCGCGCGUGUGUAACACGGGUGUAUCCUCUCCCUGACUUUCGGAUAACUUCUCGAAACUGGGGCUCAUAUCCGCUAGGAGCUCCUGCUGCGUGGUGUUGGUUGGUAAGUUACGGUGGUUGGGGCUGGACGGGAGGCGUCUCAGCUUGUUGGUCGGGUAGUUGCUUACCCAGGCUUGGACGGGUAGCCGGCCUGAGAGGGUGACUGGCCACAUUGGGACUGCGGUACGGCCCAGACGCCUACGGGAGGCAGCAGUGGGGAAUAUUGCGCAAUGGGCGGAAGCCUGAUGCAGCAACGCCGCGUGCGGGAUGACGGCCUUCGGGUGAUAAACCGUUUUCGCCUGUGACGAAGCGUGAGUGACGGUAAUGAGUAAAGAAGCACCGGCUAACUACGUG
rnacentral:rRNA from 1 species